UAUGUAUCAUUAUACCGGUCCGCGCCGCGCGGUGUGCACUGCAGUUACUGGUCUAGACGCGCGUGUGUGUUCCGUGUCCAGGCCUCCUAAACGUUGGCGAAAACCGCGAACCCGUUACGUAUUCUUGUCAUUACUGUCCUCCAAAGUUUUUUCGCGGAGUGAUUAUUUUAUAAAUAGUGGACCCAUAACCUGAACUGGAUUAACCUCUUCAUACCAACAAUAUUAAAUCAUCGUAUUGUCAAUUUUAAUUAAUACUGUUAAUUGAUACCUUAUAGUGCCCGACGAUUAUUUUUUAAACAAGUCAUCACACUGUGGUUACCCGACGGCAAUUAUCGUUAAUGAGCUACCAUUAAUAGUUAUUAAUAUCUGUGCUGUUCCGAGGAUUUUAUUAAUUAUAUUUCGGCUCAGUGUUUCAAGUGUGAUUUUUAGUAAUCAGUGUUUGGUGUGAUUUGUUGGAAUUGGGCGCCAAACAUAGUUUUUGUAAGCACAAACUGCAUUUGAUGAUCAUCAACCAAGACUAGGUGGUUAAGUGUCUUGAAUUAGAAGAUAUAAUUGAUGAUCUACCAUCAGGAAUCACUAAUUCGUUGGUUUGGUUUAAUUUACCCGAAUUGGGCGCCAAUAUACAGUUUUCGUCAAUUGAAAUUGUGAUCAUCAAAAAAGACUAGUGUCUUUAAUUAAUGAUCCACUAGGUAUCAAUAAUAGCUUGGAUGCUUUGAUAAGUUUGGUGUUAAGUUAAGAAUCUAUAAAAUUGGCAGUUUUAUAGCGUUGAAGAUAACGAAUAUGAGGAUUGUUGGAAAUUUAGUGUCUGGUAGCAAAAGAAGCUGACGCUAGUGAGUGUUUGGAAUUGGUAGCGGUGGUUUUUCAAAGGUACCAGGUGUUUUAGUGGUUGAUAUUGUUCGCGAGUGUCAUUGCCAGUAAAUAAUAGUCGAUAAUAGAAUAACUAGUCGACCCUGGAUGUGAAGUGGUAAUCCUGGUGGUUGAAGAGCAAGGAUUUAGCUAACUUACCAGAGAGUCAGCCGACGCGAAAGCAUCGGCAAGCUCCAAGAUUCGGGCUCCGUGCGGCUUUAGAGUCGCGGCGACGUCGGCUGGUGCCGCGUACGGCCUCGACGUUGCUAUUAAGGUGGAUCGCCCGGGCAGCACGACGACGCUCAACUUCACGGACCUGGGGAGCCCAUUCGGGGCGGGCGACCCCUGUCCGUCGAGCACCCCGACCCCGAACAGUAUGUCGGGGGGACCGGCCUCGGGAGCGGGCGCCGGGGGUGGAUCCGCUGGGGGAGGAAACUCCGACAUGGACCAGCAUCUCCACCACGGAGGACUCGGUUCGGUGACUCCUGGCCCGCCGGGAAACGGCGGAGACAGCGCCUCUAGUACCCCAGUGUCCCAGUCCGGGAAAAGCGCCUUCAUUGAGCUCCAACACAACAAUCUUUACAACCCCGCGAGUUUGAGGGGAGGCUACCCCGGAGGCCACAAUGUCUCCGCGGGACACCAGUUCUCGCAUCAGGUGGGCUCCUUGGGCCAUCAAAGCUCCGGACCCGGGAGUGGAAAUCAGCAACACUCUGAUGCAGGGUUUCCUAGUCCCAGGUCCGCACUAGCUGGGUACCCUUUUGCGCCAAUGCACCAGCACAAUGCGUACGGAUAUCAUCUCAGUUCUUAUGCUCCGCAAUGCCCCUCACCGCCCAAGGACGGGUGGUGUAUGUUCACAGACCUCUCGCCUUUGGGUGAUAAGGGAGGAAGCCUGGUGGACGAGCUGGGAGGAGGAGGCGGCGGCUCCCUGAGAAACGGCAAGGGCAAGAAAAUGCGUAAGCCCAGAACGAUCUACAGCAGCCUGCAGCUCCAGCAGCUGAACAGGCGGUUCCAGAGGACGCAGUACCUCGCACUACCUGAGCGAGCGGAGCUGGCAGCCAGCCUAGGGUUGACGCAGACACAGGUGAAAAUCUGGUUCCAAAACAGGAGGAGCAAGUACAAGAAGAUGAUGAAGGCUGCACAGCAGGGCGGCGGUGGCGGAGCCGGCCAGCAUGGGAACCUCUUAGCUGGUGGUCCCUCACCUCAACCUGGACAACCUGGCGGGCUUAUGCAAGGCGGCGGAGGUAGUUCAGUGUCCGGAAGUCCAACGACAGGUUACCUGGGCGGGAUCGGCCCCGGCGGAGGCGAAAAUACCCCGGGGAGCUCAACACCCGGAAGCGACAUGUCGCCCCAGCACAACGAGAGCCCACCAGCGCCUGCCUGGACCGGCGAGAUGAAACACCACCCACACUCCCACGCUCCGCCACACACCCACCAUCACCCCCACACGCCCGGGCACCAUCCACCCCCGCCUCCGCCGCCGCCUCAUCACUCCGGAUACAUCCCCCAGUAUUCGUGGUACCAAACGGAACCUAAUCCCGGAUUACUCACAUAUUAUUGACAACAAUGAUGAUGCAUAGAAAAUACUUAAUAUCAUCUAAUGUAACAUUCUACUCGCUAACAAAUAUUCAAAAUGGGUCUGGCCCGCAGUGUAACGAACACACUGAGAGCUGUAAAGUCCAAAAAAAAAAACACAGGACUAGAUCAACAAUAAACAACCCUAGGACUCAAAGAGUCUACGCCAAUCCGCUGCUCCAAAGGCAAUUAUAAAAACAAAGGUGCGAAACGUCUGAAACGAGAGUCGAGCGAUCAUCUUGCAAAAUGUAAAUAAAUAAAUUAAGUUAAAAUUAAUUUAUUGAUAUGCGAACGCGGAAAUAGUUAUAC
rnacentral:misc_RNA from 1 species